GAUGACUUCUUUUGGCCUCUGCAGGCACCU
rnacentral:piRNA from 1 species